rnacentral:rRNA from 1 species
GACAGAGGUUGCAAACGUUGUUCGGAAUUACUGGGCAUAAAGCGCACGUAGGUGGUUCGCUAAGUCGUGUGUGAAAUGCCCCGGCUCAACCGGGGAAUUGCGCACGAUACUGGCGAGCUUGAGGUCGGAAGGGGUGAGUGGAACUCCUGGUGGAGCGGUGAAAUGCGUAGAUAUCAGGAGGAACACCGGUGGCGAAAGCGGCUCACUGGUCCGAAUCUGACACUGAGGUGCGAAAGCUAGGGUAGCAAACGGG